GUGUAUGCGUAGCGAAAGCGAGUCUUAAAAGGCGUCUUUUCAGUCGCGUGUCCUGGACCCGAAGCGGGAUGAUCUAGCCCUGGUCAGGUUGAAGCGCGGGUAAGACCGCGUGGAGGACCGCACCCACUUAGGUUGAAAACUGAGGGGAUGAACUGGGGUUAGGGGUGAAAGGCCAAUCAAAUUCCGUGAUAGCUGGUUCUCUUCGAAAUGCAUUUAGGUGCAGCGUCGGUUGAUUGCGUGUGGGGGGUAGAGCUACUGGAUGCUUGCGGGCCCGUGCCGGGUACCAACAGCAACCAAACUCCGAAUACCCAUCGCGUCUAUUCCGGCAGUGAGUCGGCGGGGGAUAAGCUCCGUCGUCGAGGGGGAGAC
rnacentral:rRNA from 1 species